GUCCUGCCAGUAGUUAUAUGCUUGUCUCAAAGAUUAAGCCAUGCAUGUGUAAGUACAAGCCCAAACCUAAGGUGAAACCGCGAAUGGCUCAUUAAAUCAGCUAUGAUUCAUUGGAUCUGUACCAACCCAGUAUUUACUUGGAUAACUGUGGUAAUUCUAGAGCUAAUACAUGCACCCAGUCCCCGACCUCGUUUUCGGGUCCGACUUUAAAUAGGAGGACUCGUUGUGAGGGAAGGGCGCUUUUAUUAGUUCCAAAACCGGCGGCAGUGUUGUUGUAACGACAAACCUGCCUACCGUCUCUUGGUGACUCUGGAUAACUUUUUGCUGAGCGCACAGUCUCCGCACUGGCGCCGCAUCUUUCAAGUGUCUGCCUUAUCAGCUGUCGAUUGUAGGUUAUUCGCCUACAAUGGCUAUAACGGGUAACGGGGAAUCAGGGUUCGAUUCCGGAGAGGGAGCCUGAGAAACGGCUACCACAUCUAAGGAAGGCAGCAGGCACGCAAAUUACCCACUCCCAGCCCGGGGAGGUAGUGACGAAAAAUAACGAUACGAGACUCAUCCGAGGCCUCGUAAUCGGAAUGAGUACACUUUAAAUCCUUUAACGAGGACCUAUUGGAGGGCAAGUCUGGUGCCAGCAGCCGCGGUAAUUCCAGCUCCAAUAGCGUAUGCCAAAGUUGCUGCGGUUAAAAAGCUCGUAGUUGGACUACAGUUCCGGACUGACGGCUCACCGCCAAGGUGUACACCGUCAGCUCCGAAGCAGCCCGAGUUUAAAAAACUCGGGCCCCGUCGGCUCGCCUGGGGUGCUCUUCACCGAGUGCCCCAAGUGGCUGGCAUGUUUACUUUGAAAAAAUUAGAGUGCUCAGAGCAGGCUACAUGAAUUGGCCUGAAUGCCUAUGCAUGGAAUAAUGGAAUAGGACCUCGGUUCUAUUUUGUCGGUUUUCCCUUGUUGGAACCCGAGGUAAUGAUUAAGGGGAACAGUCGGGGACAUUUGUACUGCGACGCUAGAGGUGAAAUUCUUGGACCGUCGCAAGACAAGCUACUGCGAAAGCAUUUGUCAAGGAUGUUUUCGUUAAUCAAGAACGAAAGUUAGAGGUUCGAAGGCGAUCAGAUACCGCCCUAGUUCUAACCAUAAACGAUGCUGACCAGCGAUCCGCCGGCGCUAUUCCCAUGGCCCGGCGGGAAGCUUCCGGGAAACCAAAGUCUUUGAGUUCCGGGGGAAGUAUGGUUGCAAAGCUGAAACUUAAAGGAAUUGACGGAAGGGCACCACCAGGAGUGGAGCCUGCGGCUUAAUUUGACUCAACACGGGAAACCUCACCAGGCCCAGACACCGGAAGGAUUGACAGAAUGAGAGCUCUUUCUCGAUUCGGUGGGUGGUGGUGCAUGGCCGUUCUUAGUUGGUGGAGUGAUUUGUCUGGUUAAUUCCGAUAACGAACGAGACUCUGGCCUAUUAACUAGUCGGCGGAUUUCCAAGCAUUGGUGUCCAGCCCGCAACUUCUUCUUAGAGGGAUAAGCGGCAUACAUAGCCGCACGAGAUUGAGCAAUAACAGGUCUGUGAUGCCCUUAGAUGUUCUGGGCCGCACGCGCGCUACACUGAAGGGAUCAGCGUGUUUUCCCCCUCCGAGAGGAGCGGGCAACCCGAUGAAACCCCUUCGUGCUAGGGAUUGGGGCUUGCAAUUGUUUCCCAUGAACGAGGAAUUCCCAGUAAGCGCAAGUCAUCAGCUUGCGUUGAUUACGUCCCUGCCCUUUGUACACACCGCCCGUCGCUACUACCGAUUGAAUGAUUUAGUGAGGACUUCGGACUGGCGCUCUUGGGUGCGUGGGUGUGUGGAGCAGCAGAAGUCGUGUUGGCUCUAGUUAGUCGAUCUUCUCUCUGUCUCUCUCGCCCUGCUCUUCGAGCUGACGGAAAGAUGUCCAAACUUGAUCAUUUAGAGGAAGUAAAAGUCGUAACAAGGUUUCCGUAGGUGAACCUGCGGAAA
rnacentral:rRNA from 1 species